rnacentral:rRNA from 1 species
UACGAAGGGGGCUAGCGUUGCUCGGAAUGACUGGGCGUAAAGGGCGCGUAGGCGGUUUGCACAGUCAGGCGUGAAAUUCCCGGGCUUAACCUGGGGGCUGCGUUUGAUACGUGCGGACUUGAGGAUGAGAGAGGCUCGUGGAAUUCCCAGUGUAGAGGUGAAAUUCGUAGAUAUUGGGAAGAACACCGGUGGCGAAGGCGGCGAGCUGGCUCAUUUCUGACGCUGAGGCG